CCGCGCGUCGCCCACCUAGCCUGGAGAUUACCGACCACCGGUGCGGACACUAUUCUUCGAAAUCAGUUUGCCUUUGCAAAUUCACUGGCGCCAGUAUCAGUUUGCAUCUGUUUUGCAUGUUAGAUAGGUCGUGCAUGUACAGAAAGCUCGCAGCCAGUACGCGAAGAUGACGACGGUUUGGAUUACUGGAGUGGCGCUGUGGCUGUCCCUGGUGCUCUGUUCCGGAACCACCAAAGCCCAGACCACGAUCGGUGCCACGAUCGUGCUGGAUCCACAAGAUAUAACGGUGGUAGUUGGUGAGAGGAACGAAUUUGUGGCCAAAGUGCGUGGAGCCUUGGUGCAACCGGCGACGCUUAACUUUUCCACCGAACAUGCCGACCUAGUGGAAGUUUCACCGCCAAGCUUCGCCAUCGACGCCCCGGUCGGUGGGUACAUCGAUAAGGACUACGAGAUCUCACUGUACGGCAUAUCACCCGGACAGUUCGAUUUGGUUGCGGAGGUACUGCCGAAGGGUUUGAUUGACGAUGCGAUCGCCUUUAUACGGGUGACGGUAGCCAACUCAAAGGCCAUCAUCGUGAUCUCGGACGUGAUCGGAUGGAUCUACUUUGCCGCCUGGACCGUCUCCUUCUGGCCGCAGAUGAUCAUCAACUAUCGACGCAAAAGUGUCAUCGGUUUAUCGUUCGACUUUCUUGCCCUGAACGUGGUCGGUCACUCGGUGUACGCGGCAUUCAAUUUGGCCCUGUUCUGGAGUGCGUACAUCGAGAACGAAUACUUCGAUCGGAACCCUCGCGGGUUGAACCCGGUGCUACCGAAUGAUGUGGCCUUCUCAAUACACGCUACGAUCGCCACGAUGCUGACACUCGGGCAAUGCUUCAUCUAUGAGCGCGGAGAUCAAAAAAUUUCCCUUUAUGCAUGGGGAAUCCUAGGAAUUUUCGUGAUCGUGGUUAUCGUUGCGGGCAUACUUGUUGGCACGGACACAUUCCACUGGUUGGAUUUCCUAUACGUUCUCAGCUACAUCAAGCUCUCGGUCACGCUCAUCAAAUACAUACCGCAGGCGGUUUUAAACUUCCAACGCAAGAGUACCGUUGGGUGGAGCAUCGAAAAUGUGCUCCUAGAUUUUACGGGAGGCACACUGAGCAUGCUCCAGAUGCUCCUGAAUGGAUACAACUACGAUGACUGGGGGUCCAUCUUUGGAGACCCAACCAAGUUUGGGCUCGGUCUAUUUUCGGUGCUGUUCGAUAUUCUCUUCAUUGUACAACAUUACGUCCUGUACAGAAUACCGAAAAAACGGAUCGAUCCGAUCGAAUCUAACCUAGAAACAUUGCUCAAAGAACCGCAUGCCAUUGCCACCAGCACUGACACCGAAUAACAACAGUAACAAAACCAAAACCACCAACAACCGUAACCCUAGCCCAUAAGCAAUACCAAGCAACACUUCCUCACAACACUUACUCAGCAUGAACACACUGAAAUCGCGCUGACGGCAAAACCCUGCAAGAGGACUCUUCCGCUACCAACACCACCAACGGCGGCAGCAACGAUAGUCUUCCGUAGAGCUUUUGCACCGAAGAAAUACCGUCUCAAGCCCCUCCGAAACGCGAUCUGUGCGUAGUUUCUUAAGCCGCUAGAUUUAAUGCUUAGUUUUAAAUAGGCCAUCAUCGCCGCUAAUGUCAGGCCAAAGGUCCAGGCACGUGGCGGUGGAAGCGACUGAAUGUAGAAAAGUAUAAACGGAAAAUGAAAAUUCAUGUUCGAGUUCUAGUUCGAAGAUCAAAAGCGCGUUGGCCAGACGCGCUGAUUUGUGUUGACUUACUGUUGCCAUGUUAGUAGCUGAUAGAAAAGAGAGAGUAGUUCGUUACGAACAAUAAUUUUUCUCUCUACACAACGAAAAUACAACUUUAUAUUUGC